UCUCUGGACAACCGGGAGAAUUGCAUUUUCUGAGGCCCACGAUAAGCACCCAACCGUUAAUAUUUCCAUGCUUCUCUGUCCAUCCCAUGGAGCCUGGGGCUUGAGGGACUGUGCAGUGAGGCAGCAACUCACAUCUCCAGCUGUUGGACUGGUCCUGCCAGCGACGUCUGCUCAGUAGAACAAGCAGCACUUCCCCCAGCUCAGCACUGUCUCAUUUCUGAGACUGAACACCCCGUGGUCACUCUACAUGGAUGGGUUAAUUUCCCUUGGAAAAGUAUUGAUGAUCAAGUGAUGCUAGCAGCAACAGUGUUAAAGGCUUUAACGCUUUUAAAGGGUGACACAGGCUUAAACUGAGACAAUCCAGCAUGGAACACUUGCAGGAAGUACUAGGAAAGUGCAUUUUCUUUCCAUGAGGGUUGCCAAACUGGAAGCAUGUUAGCUAAAGCUACCUGUAGUCAUUUUGUGGCCACAUUGGGUGAGAUUGUCUGAGAAAGCAAACCAACUGAAGCAGAGCAGAGAAGAUACUCUACCAACCUAGUUGGAGCCCUGGUUCCAGCCUUGCCUGAAGCUAAAUGCACCUCUAUGCUUCCUUUUUACUGACCCAAUAAAUUUCCCUAUUUGUUUAAA
rnacentral:lncRNA from 1 species